GAGUCAAUGUGGAGGCUAUAUACAGGGGGUACCAGUACAGAGUCAAUGUGGAGGCUAUAUACAGGGGGUACCAGUACAGAGUCAAUGUGGAGACUAUAUACAGGGUGUACCGUCAAUGUGGAGGCUAUAUACAGGGGGUACCGGUACAGAGUCAAUGUGGAGGCUAUAUACAGGGGGUACCAGUACAGAGUCAAUGUGGAGGCUAUAUACAGGGGGUACCGGUACAGAGUCAAUGUGGAGGCUAUAUACAGGGUGUACCGUCAAUGUGGAGGCUAUAUACAGGGGGUACCAGUACAGAGUCAAUGUGGAGGCUAUAUACAGGGGGUACCAGUACAGAGUCAAUGUGGAGGCUAUAUACA
ensembl:lncRNA